rnacentral:snoRNA from 1 species
CUUUUAAAAAAAAAAAAAAAGGAGCUCUCAGGGUUACCAACCUUACAAUAGUAAUUGAGUCGUAGUGUAUUUCUCCUACAUAU